GACGUAGGGCGCGAGCGUUGUCCGGAUUUAUUGGGCGUAAAGAGCUCGUAGGCGGCUUGUCGCGUCGAAUGUGAAAUCUCGGGGCUCAACUCCGAGCUUGCAUUCGAUACGGGCAGGCUAGAGUUCGGUAGGGGAGACUGGAAUUCCUGGUGUAGCGGUGAAAUGCGCAGAUAUCAGGAGGAACACCGAUGGCGAAGGCAGGUCUCUGGGCCGAUACUGGCGCUGAGGAGCGAAAGCGUGGGGAGCGAACAGG
rnacentral:rRNA from 1 species